rnacentral:rRNA from 1 species
GGGAGCGCGCUACACUGCAGUCGAGCGGGGGAAGUAGCUUGCUACUGGACCUAGCGGCGGACGGGUGAGUAAUGCUUAGGAAUCUGCCUAUUAGUGGGGGACAACAUUCCGAAAGGAAUGCUAAUACCGCAUACGUCCUACGGGAGAAAGCAGGGGACCUUCGGGCCUUGCGCUAAUAGAUGAGCCUAAGUCGGAUUAGCUAGUUGGUGGGGUAAAGGCCUACCAAGGCGACGAUCUGUAGCGGGUCUGAGAGGAUGAUCCGCCACACUGGGACUGAGACACGGCCCAGACUCCUACGGGAGGCAGCAGUGGGGAAUAUUGGACAAUGGGGGGAACCCUGAUCCAGCCAUGCCGCGUGUGUGAAGAAGGCCUUAUGGUUGUAAAGCACUUUAAGCGAGGAGGAGGCUACUAGUAUUAAUACUACUGGAUAGUGGACGUUACUCGCAUAAUAAGCACCGGCUAACUCUGUGCCAGCCACCGCGGUUAUACUGAGGGUGCGAGCGUUAUUUCGCAUUUACUGGUCGUAAACCGU